CCUCCCUCGGUCUUGGUCUUGAUUUGGUCUCAGCUCCUAAAAGUCUUGGUCUUGUCUCGGUCUCGAUAAACUCUGGUCUUGGUCUUGACUUGGUCUCGGUUUGGGUGGUCUUGACUACAACACUACGUACGGUCAAACGGUGUGUGAGUUUACAAAGUUGCAGAAUAUUUCUUUCGCCAAACUCAGACAUCAGUGUAGGUUUUAACACAAGGUCAGACCUCUCCAGGACUUCCUAUUUAUGCCCAUGAUCCAAGCAAAGUAGAUACUGAAGCUGCCAGGUUGAUGAUCUGUGAAAUGAACUCCCACAGCUCUGCAGCUGAAGAAAUUCUCCAUCAUAGGCCACAGUAUGGGUGAGUGCACCAUUGGAGCUUAAUAUAUCUUAAUCUGUGUUGUACAUUUUGCUGCGUAAAGUAAUCACAAAAGUGCAAAUCACAUGGAGUUUUUAUUUAAAGGUGCUGACACUGCUGGAUUGGUAAGUGUCAGGCUCUUAUCUAUUUACUCUUUUGCACACCGUAUACAAAGACCAUAUUUUCAUAUGUGUGGUAUGAUAAUAUGAUCUAAAUUGUGUUUCCCACAGUUCAGUGCACUGUAUUCUGAGAUGGUGGAUGCUCUUAUGCUUCUGGACACAUACGGAUUCCUGUCUACAGACUCAGUACAAAGUGUUUUGACACAAAUUACAGUCACUGUAGAGCUGUAACAGUUUGUGUUUUCAGAAACGUCUGACCAGACACCAAAAGAGAAAGUCUAAAAAAAGGGUCACAACAUUUUCUGUCAGGCUUAUGUCCCACAAUGUGGCUCUAAAUGUUGUUUCAAGGAAGGAAAUUCUAAAUCCUUUAUUUCUAUGUUUUGCUGGAUUUAAGUAGUCAAAUUAAGUACACUGAAUAUAAAAUCUUAGAAUCAGGCCAUUUAAUGCCCACCUUUUUGUGUUUUUUUAUUGCAGAAUGUAAUCUCCCUCCAGGUAUCUAAACCUCCCAACUGACAAAAAUAUGCGUCAGUGUAUACAAUGACUGCUGCAGCCCUGGUUAAAUGCAGACAUACCCAAAGUGAUGAGGCAGGGGAUGGAUGUGAUGCUGCAGUAUUAUAAGAAGACAGAAGAGAAGAAGGCAGUUGAGAGGUAUUUAUUAAGUCAUCCCAGGUCUUGGAAAUUUACAAAGCAGGGGUUCUUAACCUUUCUGGCAGUCCGACCCCUUUUUGAGGCUGAAAAUAUUUUGUGCCCCCCCCCAACAAGACACACACCUCCAUCCUACUCACUUAAUGGGAUCAACCUUAGCUAGCUAACUUAGCAUUGCCUUUUGAAAUUCUUAUUCUUCUUUGGCGUUUUUUAGCAGCUGGCAUUACCGCCACCUACUGGUGGUCCGUCUAGUUAUUUUUUCUAUUUUUGUGUCUAUAGCAGCAUUCUCGCAACCCCCCUGGGACCUGGUGCCAUGGGGGUCCAGACCCCCAGCUUAAGAACCACUGAUAUAAAGGACUAUUACAUUUCUAGUAACACUGUCUCCAUAGUCAGCCGUUGGCUAAAAUGCUUCAUUUCAUUCAGGAUGUUGGCUGCAAACCCGACUCUGUCCAAACAGUCUGUGUGCAUCCUUUUAGAGCGCGGCCUAGUUCAAGUUGAAGGAGGUACGUCUUUAUCUCUUCUUCUUCUCUCAGGGAGGAAUAAUCUCACCUUGCUUCCUCUCAUCUGCUGGCAGCUGAAUGUGUUUCCCUUCAGCAGGUUUUGUGUUCUCCUGAGACCUGUGACUUAAUUAUAAAAUCAUAGCACGGAUCAUUUUGGAGCAGAGUCUGGGGAUGCAGUUAAAGAUUCAAGCCGCUGUUCUUGUUCACCACUGAAGGGGAUUUUUCAGUACAACAAAUUUGUAGUACAACAGUGUGACAACAGACAGGGACAUUUCAGCUGACAUAAAUGUCAUGAGCAGCAAAACUGGUAACAAACAAAGUGAAAAUCUUAUCCCCAUCUCCCAGAUAUUCUUGCAUGCAAGUCACAAAUCUCUGUCUAUGUCAUAGUUAUCUAACAAUAACAUACCCUUUAUCCUUUUGCGUUACUCCUACAGUAUAUGGUCUUUUGUCACAUCGAACUAAUUAUGUUCAAAUCUCCUUCCAGAACAGAAAAAGGGCUUUGAUAAAAUAUUUUUUGAACCAGCUAAAAAGGAAUUUACCUCAACGCUUCUCCAAGACUGACAGGAUGGAAAUCACACAGUGGUGACAGUACCAGGCCAUCAUCAUGUUCACCUGGAUAAGCCUGAAGUUGUCGCUCCGUAUGUGUUCAACUUCCUGCGAACCAAAGUGCUCUCACAGUCAGCCAGCCAAGAGCAAAAGUUAAAAGCUACACACUCAC